AAAUAAUUUUCAAAUAUUUAUUUGAUUAAUCAUUCCAAGGCUUAAUUGUUUACUGAGUACCUCCUAAGUCCCAAACCCUGGAUAUACCAUGGUGAGUAAAAGAUGUGGUCUUUGCCCUCAUGCAGUUGAUAGUCUAAAAGCAGAGUUGUUCAUGCAAAUGAAUAUAAAAUUCCAAUGAAGAUAAGUGUUGGAAAUGGUGUUUAUGUGGGACAUGACUGCAUACAAGAAGGUAAUCUGAUUUAGUAUGUGAAAUCAGGGAAGGCUUCCUUGAGAAGUGACAAAACGAGGGUUAAGAGUGAGCCCAGUGAGGCGAUGAGAGCAAUCCUGUGCCAAGGGAGCAGCAUGCGUCAAGACACUGUGCCUGAAGGAAGCAUUGCAUUACAGAGAUUUCAAAGACCUUUUUGGAACAAAAAGCAAAGAAAGGCUGUAGGAAACGAGGUAAAAAGAUAGACAUUGCAGAGAAUAUGUGUUCUUCAUUUCAUUUACAUAGAAGUUUUUUAAACACUGAGGUGAAAUUCAUAUACCAUAAAGUUGACAACUGAAAACAAUUCAGCGGAAUGUCAUACAUUCUCAGUGUUGUGCAACCACCUCCUCCAUCUAGUUCCAAAGCAUUUCAUCACUCCAAAAGGAAACUAAUACCCAUUAAGCAGUCUGUGUUCAUCUCUCCCUGUCCCCAGCCCCUGGGAAUUAAUAAUCUGCUUUCUUUCUCUUUUUUUUUGGAGACGGAGUUUCGCUCUUGUCACCCAGGCUGGAGUGCAAUGGUGUGAUCUCAGCUCACUGCAACCUCUGCCUCCUGGGUUCAAGUGAUUCCCCUGCCUCAGCCUCCCGAGUAGCUGGGAUUACAGGUGCGUCCCACCACACCCAGCUAAUUUUUGUAUUAUUAGUAGAGACUGAGUUUCACCAUGUUGGCUAAUUUGGUCUUGAACUCCUGACCUCAGAUGAUCCACCCGCCUCAGCCUCCCAAAGUGCUGGGAUUAUAGGCAUGAGCCACCACUCCCGGCCUAUUAAUCUGCUUUCUAUCUCUAUAGACUUAUCUAUUUUGGAUAUGUCAUGCAAAUGAAAUCAUACAAUAUGUGGUCUUUUGUGUCUGGCUUCCUUCACUUAAUAUAUUUUCAAUGUUCAUCCAAUGUUGUAGCAUGAACCAGUACUUCAUUCCUUUUGAUGGCUAAAUAAAAUUCCAUUGCAUGUAUGUAUCACAUCUGUUUAUUCACUCAUUUGUUGAUGAACAUUUGGCCUGUUUCUACCUUUGAGUUAUUGUGAAUAAAGCUGCUGUGAACAUUAGAGUGCA
rnacentral:lncRNA from 1 species